AGACAAACACAGAGAAGGCUCUGGAAGGCAGGCUGCCGCCGGCUGCUGUUUACCUAGCCCAGGGUAAUGGGUGCUGGCCAGGUGUGUGUGUCCUGGAACGGCCAACCGGCACGGCGAUUAGCUUGAUGAAUGGACCAAUGGGAACUCUGAGACUGUGGCUGAGGUGACAGCGGUGCAUCGUAGCUGUCCUGCUCACAUCGGAGACAGACGCAAUGGGAUUUGGCAGAGAGAAUGGGGGCAGCCAGGGGAACCAGCACCAUGGGUUCUGCUCACCGACACAUCACUCAUCCAUACCGGCCCCGCCUCCCCAAGCCCCAUCCUCCUCGACCGCCUGCUUUUCCAUCCUUUGAGGUAUGACGUCGUUCAGGACAUUUCCCGCCCUUGCACAGCAGCUUCUGGCAACCCUCACGAUAACCCAUCCUACAGCUCAUUCAACUGAAUCCUUCUCAUAUCUUACGAUGAUGAUGAUGAUGAUGAUGAUGAUGAUGAUGAUGAUGAUGAUGAUGAUGAUGAUGAUGAUGAUGAUGA